rnacentral:rRNA from 1 species
AACUGGAGGAAGGUGGGGAUGACGUCAAGUCAUCAUGCCCCUUAUGUCUUGGGCUGCACACGUGCUACAAUGGCCGGUACAAUGAGCUGCGAUGCCGCGAGGCGGAGCGAAUCUCAAAAAGCCGGUCUCAGUUCGGAUUGGGGUCUGCAACUCGACCCCAUGAAGUCGGAGUUGCUAGUAAUCGCAGAUCAGCAUUGCUGCGGUGAAUACGUUCCCGGGCCUUGUACACACCGCCCGUCACGUCCCGAAAGUCGGUCACACCCGAAGCGGGGGGCCCAA